rnacentral:lncRNA from 1 species
UUCGAUUAGGACUCCUUCCUCACACGUGGGUGCAUCUGAGAGCCUUCAGAGCCUCUAUAGUCAUAGUUUGGAUUUGUUACUCCUUCCUUUUUUUAGUCUCCAUUUGAGAGUGCUCAGAGAUCGGUUUGAGUUUGAGUAUCGGUUGAAUCACCUUUCGUCUUGUCGCUUUAGUUUGCGUUUUUCACUCGAUGGGUUUGUCAUGUUUUUCCUUAGGGCUUUCGUUUUUUUUUUCUUUCUUGGCUCGACACAUCCUUUCACUUUGUUGACACUUACUUGAUACUUCGGGAUAUGUUCAUCGAUCAUGAUCAUCUUGUUUUAGCAUUGCACACCUAUCACGAGCCCGAUACCUCAUUCUUUGUUUGAUCCUUGAUUCAAUUUUUGACUCGAUGCUCAUAUUUUCAUUACGGAAAGGUGAAAGGCACGUUUUCAUGUUCACACUUUUUUCGAGAGAGUCGCCUUGAUCACCUUAUUAUUUUUCUCUUAUGGAGCUCGAGUUGAAGGUUGAUUCAAGGAUAUGUGGUUACAGAUGGAGUAUUGAUCUCGUGAUAGCGUGUUUUUUCACACCUCUUUCAUCUUGGAUUAUUGAUGGGAAUUCUCUAGUCACAUUUGUAGCCAUCUCACAGUGGACACCUUUAUGACCUUAGAGUUUCUGUCAUAUUUCCAAUUUUAGAUUGUCAUCACAGGACCAUAUAUCAAAUGAUGUGUUGUACUUUUGACUUGGUACAUCUUUCACUUACACCACGAUCACUUUGGCCUGACCUAUCAUGGAGGAUAUUGAGCCUAUUGACCUAGGAUCAGGAGCUCGACCUAGAGAGUUCGAGACUGUGACCCAUUUUACCUUCUGUUCGGAGCAGUACCAUAUCCAUAUCCAUAUCCCGACUCUAUGGACUUGUCGACCUACCCAUUUUGAGCCUGACAUGACACCACCCCUUGGUACCGUUAUACGACCUUUACCAUUCUUAUUCGCCUUCGUAUAUUAUAGUACCAUUGCCUAUUCUUUCCAUCAUUUCCUUGAUCUGACCUGGUAGUGUCAGAGAUGGUUAGACCCGAGGUGAGCUUCACACGAUGAUAGAUGGAUCGUGAUGAGAGAGUGGCUUGACUACUUGAUGAUGUUGUUGAGGCAGAUGGAUCGUCAUGGAGCAUCCAGAUUUGAGUCAUUGCACAUGACUUCAGGUGUUUUGAUGUGAUCAGAGAGAUUGAUUUUAUGAGAUGAUGGUGAGUGACUUGUGAUGAUGGAGUGAGGUGAUUAUCAGAGGACAUUGACGGUUAUCACGGAGCAUUAGUGAGAGAUUUCACACGAUUUCAGAGGAGUCGCCAUGACUAUGUUGGAUGGAUACCAAUCUUUAGUAUUGGUCAUGUGAGAUCUCGAAAGCAUGAUGUUCGAGGUUUUGGUCAAAUGAUGGGUGGCCAUCAUUUCAUGAGCCUAUUUACUUUAUCACCCUCACAUAUAGAGUUACCCGUUGCUAGCCCUUUGAGCCUCACACGAGCACAUAGCCUUUUAUUUCAUCACUUCAUUUACCUAUUACACCGGGUUGAGGACCCUGUAGUGCUUGCAUGCUAUGUUUGGAUACGUCAUGAGUUCCAGACCUGACACACUUGUUCGAGCCUCAUUCUUCACUCUUCACUGUGUUAUUUUCCACUUGGACAUCAUUUCAUCACUAUUUUUCUUAUAUCACAUAUCACCACUUGCGAUAUUCGUUCUCUGGCCUUUUCUUUCAUUAUUGCUUGCUCGACAUUAUCCGUGUUUCACCUUGAGUGGUGGUUUUUCACACGUCACUGCAUGGAGGAUUGUCACAUUCUUUCCUAUCAUUCACCCCCCAUGGGCAGUGGUUCAGAGAUGUUAUUUUGAGAGGUUGUCUUGUUGGUGAGGAUUCAUGUUACAUUCGUAUGUGGAGAGGGUUUGAUCAUUUGGGGUAUGUAUUUUCAUGGGAGUUCAUUCAUUAUUGAUCAGAGUAUGCGCAAAAAAAAAAAAACAAAAAAAAAAAAAAGUGUAUUGUUCAUUAUACCGUUUUCCAUUGAGCACAUGUAUGAAUGUGCUAGUUUGCUUUAUUGAGUUCAUGUAUUAGAGAGAGUUCGUAUGAGAGCUUCUUUCUGAGAUUCCAUCUUAGUGUAUAUUUUGGGUGAGAGUAUGAGUCAUCCAUUCGAUUUUUGUGAGAGAGACGAGUGACCUUUCUUUAAUAUCUCUGGAUCCUUGCUCUAUCCAUCAUCCCAUCUGUUUUGGAUGUGACUACUUUCCAUGCUUUGAUGCAGGUUGACCAUCACUCAUUUUUCUACCUCUUUGUUUUCUUGUAUCUUUGUUUUGUUCCUCCAUUCUACCCUUAGCUCUUCUGGUUUCUUUCUUUUCUCAUCCUGCUUGAUGUUUGACUUGGGUUCAGCAUCCACACAUCAUACUUGUUCAUUCGAUAUGUCCAUUCCUUUAUCAUCACUUUUCGUGUAGGGACCCCUAGGUCCGGGACUCAUGACGUUUUCU